rnacentral:rRNA from 1 species
AUUGAACGCUGGCGGCAUGCUUUACACAUGCAAGUCGAACGGUAACAGGUUACGCUGACGAGUGGCGAACGGGUGAGUAAUGCAUCGGAACGUGCCCAGUCGUGGGGGAUAACGCAGCGAAAGCUGCGCUAAUACCGCAUACGAUCUGAGGAUGAAAGCGGGGGACCGUAAGGCCUCGCGCGACCGGAGCGGCCGAUGUCAGAUUAGGUAGUUGGUGAGGUAAAGGCUCACCAAGCCAACGAUCUGUAGCUGGUCUGCGAGGACGACCAGCCACACGUGGACUGAGCGAGGGCCCGGACGCCUGCGGGAGGCGUAGAUGGGGUGUGUUGGACUAUGGGCGGAAGCCUGAUCAGGGUAUGCCGCGGGCAGGCAGCGGGCCUUCGGGCUGUAAACUGCUGUUGUGCGGAGGGAAAAGGCACUCUCUAGAACAGCGAGCUCGUGGCGGUACCGAAAGAAUAAGCACCGGCUAAGUACGUGCCUGACGCCGCCGGAA